AGAGUUUGAUCCUGGCUCAGGAUGAACGCUGGCGGCGUGCCUAAUACAUGCAAGUCGAGCGAACGGACGAGAAGCUUGCUUCUCUGAUGUUAGCGGCGGACGGGUGAGUAACACGUGGAUAACCUACCUAUAAGACUGGGAUAACUUCGGGAAACCGGAGCUAAUACCGGAUAAUAUUUUGAACCGCAUGGUUCAAAAGUGAAAGACGGUCUUGCUGUCACUUAUAGAUGGAUCCGCGCUGCAUUAGCUAGUUGGUAAGGUAACGGCUUACCAAGGCAACGAUGCAUAGCCGACCUGAGAGGGGGAUCGGCCACACUGGAACUGAGACACGGUCCAGACUCCUACGGGAGGCAGCAGUAGGGAAUCUUCCGCAAUGGGCGAAAGCCUGACGGAGCAACGCCGCGUGAGUGAUGAAGGUCUUCGGAUCGUAAAACUCUGUUAUUAGGGAAGAACAUAUGUGUAAGUAACUGUGCACAUCUUGACGGUACCUAAUCAGAAAGCCACGGCUAACUACGUGCCAGCAGCCGCGGUAAUACGUAGGUGGCAAGCGUUAUCCGGAAUUAUUGGGCGUAAAGCGCGCGUAGGCGGUUUUUUAAGUCUGAUGUGAAAGCCCACGGCUCAACCGUGGAGGGUCAUUGGAAACUGGAAAACUUGAGUGCAGAAGAGGAAAGUGGAAUUCCAUGUGUAGCGGUGAAAUGCGCAGAGAUAUGGAGGAACACCAGUGGCGAAGGCGACUUUCUGGUCUGUAACUGACGCUGAUGUGCGAAAGCGUGGGGAUCAAACAGGAUUAGAUACCCUGGUAGUCCACGCCGUAAACGAUGAGUGCUAAGUGUUAGGGGGUUUCCGCCCCUUAGUGCUGCAGCUAACGCAUUAAGCACUCCGCCUGGGGAGUACGACCGCAAGGUUGAAACUCAAAGGAAUUGACGGGGACCCGCACAAGCGGUGGAGCAUGUGGUUUAAUUCGAAGCAACGCGAAGAACCUUACCAAAUCUUGACAUCCUUUGACAACUCUAGAGAUAGAGCCUUCCCCUUCGGGGGACAAAGUGACAGGUGGUGCAUGGUUGUCGUCAGCUCGUGUCGUGAGAUGUUGGGUUAAGUCCCGCAACGAGCGCAACCCUUAAGCUUAGUUGCCAUCAUUAAGUUGGGCACUCUAAGUUGACUGCCGGUGACAAACCGGAGGAAGGUGGGGAUGACGUCAAAUCAUCAUGCCCCUUAUGAUUUGGGCUACACACGUGCUACAAUGGACAAUACAAAGGGCAGCGAAACCGCGAGGUCAAGCAAAUCCCAUAAAGUUGUUCUCAGUUCGGAUUGUAGUCUGCAACUCGACUACAUGAAGCUGGAAUCGCUAGUAAUCGUAGAUCAGCAUGCUACGGUGAAUACGUUCCCGGGUCUUGUACACACCGCCCGUCACACCACGAGAGUUUGUAACACCCGAAGCCGGUGGAGUAACCUUUUAGGAGCUAGCCGUCGAAGGUGGGACAAAUGAUUGGGGUGAAGUCGUAACAAGGUAGCCGUAUCGGAAGGUGCGGCUGGAUCACCU
rnacentral:rRNA from 2 species